ensembl:lncRNA
UAUACAUUAUUACUCUUGUGUAGUUAACACUGUGUCACCAGAAAGUUGGAAUAUUUACCAGUUAAUCUGUGAUGAUGUGAUACUGUGCUGCAGCUUUAACUAAACUUGUACACAGGAAUGUAUCUGUAAUAAUUCUCCACCGUGUAUAGAAUAUUAUAUAAAAUUAUAGAAACUCACCUCUCUAAAAUCCCUGUGCAAAUUUCACCCUCUGUCUCCUGUUCUUAACCUCAUGUGCCGAAUGUGAGUUUAUGAGGAACAGAGUGUAUCUUGAAAUAUUUAUUUUUCCGGAAGAUUAGUUAGGAUGAAUUUAAAUAAAGUAACCAGAUCUGUGUUUUAGGAAUGUGUGUCUAAUCAUGUAAAUUAAAUAGCUGGCAUUAUGAAGGGCCUUUAAAAGACUGACGCAAAAAUAUAUUUAACCACAAAGAAAUCAGCUGUUUCCAUUAGAUAAUCCUAUUCAGAGCCACAAUUUGCUCAAUACACACUGAAAUAUUAAAAUGUCAGCUACUAAUCCUUUAUGUUUUAUCCUACUGUCAUAUUUCCUAACAUAGUUACGUUCCUUUGUUUCCUUUACAUGUAACUGUUAUUUUUAAUUAGUUUUCUGCAGCUCUUUAUUGACAUUAUACAGUGAUUUCAUUUUGAGCCACGUAUUUGAACCCAGGACUCCACAAUUUUUAUUGGAUUUUAUCAAACUGACACAAUCUACGUGCUUUAGACAACAAUUUUAACAUUCAUGUUCUGAAAUUCUUGGCUACUGUCUUCAUUUUGCUGGAAAAAAAAGUUGUGUGUGUUUGUGGCAUUUAUGCAAGCUGAGUUUUUGUCAGUGCCAGUUAAAAGGGGACAAAAAGGCAAAUCUGUUGCAGCUAUUUUAUGGCAGUCUUAGUCUCCUUUGUGAAGGGAUAGACAGAGGUUAGAGGAGGCCCGGUGAGCGACUCUGGUCUCCUGCGUUGGGGUUGCACCAACCUGUCUGCGCUCAGGAGAGUAACUUUUUGUGAGUGACUCAUUCCAGCUGAGGCUUCCUUGGUAGCCUGCUGCUUUUGAUUUCACAGUCUGUUCCGGCUCCUCUCUCCCAGCGAGAAUCUCAAAACACCUCCUCCUUCCCCUAUUGCCACCCCUAUACUAUACACCUCUACUCACUCAUCUCAUGGGAAAACAGCAACAAGCACCACAACAGGUGUUUACACUUGCCUGUCUGUCUGCACAGGUUUCACGUUGAUUUAUGAGGGACAAGAAGAAAAUAGGUGUGAAGGAUUAUAUUGUGUUUAAGACACCGGCAAGAACUGCGUGUGUGGUGUUCCUCCCAAGAGACUGUCGGUCUGCAAAUGUGGCGUCUCUGAUAGACAGCUUUAACAACUAUAAAGCAUUUUUCACAGAUGUAUGAACACAGAGAGGCAUUCAUAAAAAGGAAGUGCAAAAUAACACAGAGAAAUACUUUACCAGCAUGUUUUGUUGAUUUUUAAUAUCAAGAUUCACACACUGAAAAAAAAGGGCUGCGUUUAAUUGAGUGGUCUGGAUUUGUCAAUCUGGAUUUGGGAUGCCCGUCCCUUAUCCUUCAUUUUCCUCAAAGCAAAAACAGCUGGGGAUAAUACAUGAAGCAACACAGGAGUCUAAUAACGUCAAUAUUAGAUACACAAAAUACUGCGUAGACUGGAUGAAGUUAACUCAAAGGAUUUGGCUCAGAAGGAAAAAAACACAAGCCUGCCAUUUUAAAUUGAGAAGCCUACAAUGCCGCCUCUAGAGAAGCCAAAUAACCGCUACAUACUCAAACGUUUCCUUUCAUCCUCCCUCCCCUUUGGCCUGCUCCCACUUUGCUUUUUGGACCAUCUUUCCCUCUUAUAUCUCCUACUCUUCUCCUCACCCCCCCCCCCCCCUUUUUUUUUAUCACUCCCUCUUUCUCUGAAUGAGCUGCCCUCAGAUUACUGGGGUUUGUGGAGGUCUAUCAGAAACAUGUGUGGAGGUUUGGAGGCGGCUGAUGGGAAGUCCUUCGUCAAGCUGCUCACCCUCAUUCCUCCCAAAGAGCCCGAGCCAGUGGGGAAGAAAAACUCUUAGAGCCAGUUGGAAGACUGAAAGCAUCACCCCCCACGCCCCACCCCAUCACAGCGUUCAGCCACUACUCUUCAAGAUUUUAGUCGAUGUGUGAUUCUCCUGCCUUCUCGGGCUAAAUGACGCGUCCCGUAUGUGUUUGGCUUAUUAUACAAUGAGAAAAAUGACAUUAAUUCAAUUUAUUAAAUUGUAUAUAUUUAUUUUAGAUGAUCAGGGAUAAUUGCAGAUACAUACAAAUGCAUAAAAUGAAAUGCAACAACUUGAACUUGCCUCAUCAUAUCAGUGUUUAUAUGUGACAAAGGUGAAGGCAUGACAUUAUUACUUUAAAUGUCCUGUUUGGACAGGGACUUUAUCAGUAGCUACAUUGCCCCCUUGUGGACUCUCUUUUUAUUGUUUAGAAGGCAUUAGAUUGUACUUUCAAAAUAAAACAUUUAUAACGCUAAAACUUUGGAACAAGCAAACACACAGUGAAAGGCAAGAGUGCUCUCUGUGUGUACGGCCCUUGUGUGUCUUCUUUAUACAUGCGUGGACUCGGAGGUAGCCUGUAAAAGUCUCACAGUAAAAAUCCUACAUAAAACACAGAUGUGGUUUUAGCAAAGUGCAUCAGAGUAAAUGAAAAAUGGUGUCUGUAAUGACUAGAAUCACAUAUUUUCGUAUUAGAUUGCUCAUGGGUAUGCAUUAGUGUGCAUAAGCAGUAUUUUUAUGUUGUCUUUAGUAUAACAAUUACCUCUACUGUUGAGGGAAUUGGAAGAAGAGAACGUAUUAGGCACCUUGAAAUACUUACUAAAGUUGUACCUCAACAGGGUAGUUAAGUAAAUGGAUUUUCUGUCACUUAAGAAUGUUCUUAUUGGGAGGGAAAAGUAGCUCUGUGGUGUAACAGGAGUACUGGAAGCUAUUUGUCUCUUCACUGUUUUCAUAAUCUUUCAACAAGUUUGCUGUUAAGGUAUUUCAAAUUGAACAUGUAUCUACAGUACUUGUAUUCUGGCGUUUCCAUGAUAACUGAUUGUGUGUGAACUUUGAGGCUCAUUUACAACAAAGAUCAAAGGUCUAUGGCAUCUACCAUAGCUAAAUCACUCUGCUGUGGUGUGUGUGUGUGUUAAUGAAGAAGCUAUCUCUGCAGAGAAAUGCCGCUGAAACGGCCACCGACCUGAGUGUGAGCAUGAGAACGGGUGAGAAAAAGACUGGAAAAAUCCACGGCAUUUAGGUAAAGCUAUGUCAUAAAGGCAACACUAAUGAGCCGGAGGUUUUAAGAGGGAGGAAAGGAGGAGGGAAAUGGUUUACAUAUGGAUUUGAAAGAGCACAGGCAUCACAGCUAUGUUGUGUAUUCAAUGAAGCAAAGUAAUUCUGGUGCACACAUCUCUCCCCUGCUGCUCUACAGCUCCUCCUCCUCCUCUCAAACUCAUGUCAGUUUUAUCUAGCAUGUUAUUUACACAAACAACAUUCAUCUAUUGGGUAUUUUACAGUAUGAAAAUGCACUUUAAAAAUGCCUACAAGAAGUAGAAAAGUAACACUAUUCUUUCUAUUUGAUGUUUUAUUGAUAUUUUCUCUUUUUUAACCCUCUUAUGUUUAAAUGUGGUCUAACAUCUCACUUCUCCUCUGCUACCAGCACUAAAACGAAUAAUUUGAGAUCUACUCGGUCGCUCUCCUCAAGUUCAACAAACACACGAGCUGGCCACAGGCUAUGCGUAAUGAUAAUGCAUAAUAGAUAAAUGCAGACUGUCGCUGAACACUACAACAUGCCUGAUUGCUUUCUUUUCCUUAAGUCACAUUAAAUCAUCUUCUAAGCCACAUUAAACUCUGUUCCCAUUACAAACCUAAUAGGAUUGUCAUUUUAAUGAGUGAUGGGUAGUUCCUGACAGAGGACUUUUCAGGUUCAUUCAGCUGCUUCAUCUACAUGUAAAACAGAGGAAGAUUAGGAAAAAACAGUAUUUAUAUGGAAGUACUGCUAUAAUAACAAUAGAUACAAAUAUUAUAGUAAUUAAAAGAUUUAAAACAAAAGAAACUAACAGAGAAAAUGGGCCGCAAAACAACUUCAUCUCCUGAUGUUGCAAAUAAUGCUGUAAAGAUGCCUCUCUUUGUAGACAUCUUUGUAGACAUCUUCACUGUAUGCUAUAAAUUAAAACAACAAAAGGUGAUGUAAAACGUAUUUUUAUGUGACACAAAAUUAAGGAAAAAUUAACCUCAGAUUUAAUCUCCUUCCAUCCCAACAUAUGUGACCUUCAUUAAGCAUCUACUUUGAAAUGGAAGAAGCGGUUCACACACAGAUCUAACAAAGAAACAAAAAAAGACUAGGUUAAACAUUUAAACACCGACUUAGCUGCAGCUUUCAAACCCUAUCACAUAUUCAGUAAAAGCUGUGUUUACUUAGUUAGAGUCUGUCGCCACAUAUAAUGCUAAAAGACAAUGCUGUGGCCCUUUCCACUCAUGAAACACCGUCCCUUAAUGUUAAGUUUUAAAAUAAAACUGCCCCAAGAUUUGCACUACACCAGCCUGUUGUCAGUCCCUAGUUAAAACAGAAAGAAAUGAAAAACACUGAACUGAAAGAAAUUCAGGCUUCCCAAACUGAGCAAAAGUGUUCUAUUGGAAUGAGAUCUGGUUACUGUGCAGGCCAUUCGAGAAUGAUGAACUCAGGGCUGGACACGGUCAGCAGCAACACUUGGGUAGGCUGCGGCAUUCAUAUGAUGCUCAGUUAGUACUAAGGAGUGCAAAUAUUAAAGAGAAAACAUCCCUCACGUCAUUAUAUCAGCAGCAGCUGCCUGAACUUUUAAUGCAAGGCAGGAUGGAUAAAUGCUUUCAUGUUGUUUACACCAAAUCCUGACCCUAUCACCCCAAUGUUGCAGCAGAAAUUGAGAAACUUUCGACCAGGCAACAUUUUCCAAUCAUCUGUUGUCUAAUUUUAGUGAGUUCAUAUCAAUAGUAGCUAGUACCAGGUACCACUUCGUGUUUUAAGCCAGAGGUUCCCAAAGUGUGGGGCUAGCCCCCUAGGGGGGGUGCAGAGCCAUUGCAGGGGGGGCGCGGUACGAAAAGGAAAAAAAAAAGAACGCUUGGACACUGCUAGCAUAAUGGACAGGAUUUUCACGGGGCUCCCACACAAACGCAAAGCAGGAGAUAAAGCAUCGCCAAAUAUGUUUCCAAACCAACUUCCUUCCAAGCCAAAGACUAGAAAAUAUGGUGAAGCAUAUCUUCCCUGUGCCAAGGUAGGUCUCCCCGACAGAAUUAGUUUCCCUGCGUCGGGAGCACACGCUGGGCUCUCCAAAUCACGGACAAACAGUAUCCCACAUUUUUGAUUUUUAGUUCACGAACACUUCUUGUAAUGACUAACUACUCCUGACAUUUUGGAGAUGUUAGCUCUUUCUACAGUAAAGGUACAGUGGGAUACAAAUAAUAUCAGGCUGACCACAAUUUGUUCCCCUGGUUCAAAUCACAGACAAACGGUUGCACGGUGGUUAGCACUGUUGCCGCACAGCAAGAAGGUCCUGAGUUCAAUUCCACCAUCAGGCCGGGGUCUUUCUGUGUGGAGUUUGAAUGUUCUCCCCGUGUUUGCGUGAGGUUUGAAAUAAACCGCAAUUGUGUUUGUGUUAAGCUGACAGAAAUGGUGUCCGGUGUGGUCUUCUGCUUCAAGGUAUGACGUGUUAUGUAUUCAGACAUGCUUUUCUACAUACGCUUGAUUCUAAUAAGUUAUUAUUUGAGUCAGUGUUGCCUUUCAAUCAGCUCGACGGAGUCUGACCCCUGACAUCAAGAAAGUAUUUUCACCCAGAGAAGUGAUGAUGCUUACUGGAUAUUUUAGACCAGGGGUGCCCAAUCCCAGUCCUCGAGAGCUACCGUCCUGCAGCUUUUAGACGCACCCUUCUUCUGACACACCUGAAUCAACUGAAUGGCUUGUUAUCAGGCCUUUGCCAAACUUGAUGGCAUGCUGAAGAGGUAAUCACACCAUUUGAUUCAGCUGUGUUGGAGUAGGGAUGCAUCUAAAAGCUGCAGGAUAGUAGAUCUCGAGGACUGGGAUUGGGCACCCCUGUUUUAGACCAUUCUCUGCAAACCCGAGAGAUGACUGUGAGGGAAAAUCCCUACAGAUCAGCAGUUUCUGAAAUAUCGAGAUGAGACUAUCUGGCACAAAUGACCAUGCCACAUUCAAAGUCACAUAAAUCACUUUUCUUCUCCACAGGUGUACCUAACAAAGUGGUCCGUGAGUAUAUAUAGUGUUACAUUGGGGGAGAAUGCUCAUAAACAUGCUAAAGUUUCUAAUAAAAGGCCACUACAUGUACAAAUUAUCCCUGCGAACCAAAAUCUCAAACUUCACACUGAGUUUCACACUGAUGUCAGUGAGACUAGAACGGUCAUGUCAUGCACACUGCUGUUUAAAUCUUGCUUGCCAGGGGGAGCCAAUCAAAAGAAAACUGAAUUAAAGGGAGAGAAACUAAAACAGCUCAUUUCAGAAAGUGGACAAAGUGAGGCGCUACACCGAGGCCCACCAUAACCUUUCUAAGGAUUAAUUUAUCAUUAAAACAGUGAAUCAUGCAAAGCUACUCUAGCAGGGUCCAAGAAUACAACUACGGAUUCAGAAAUGAGCAUAAUAGCUUCCCUUUUAAAAGACAUGUAUGUUUAAAUAUUUUUUUUACUCACUGUAAGAUAAAAUAGAUUUUUUAAAAAGACAACAUAUUAAGCUAUAAGUCUUACACACCAGAGCAUUUUUCACACAGAUUUACAUAUCACUUCACAAACAGGCAGGUUUCCCAGAACUACAACUAGAAAGCGCAUUUUUAAAAAUGUUUUACAAAGCCAACAUUUGGUCAUACACCGACACUAAUGAAAGCCAUUUUCAGGAUACAGUAAAAAGGGAUCCAAAAGUUCACAUUUUCUUGCAUACUAAUACUAAUGAGAACACAUUACAAGGAAACACCAAAAAUAGUGAUGAGUCCAAUAAGAGCUCUUCACUGCCUGCAGCUCUCUGAAAUAAGCAAGUUUUAAUGUUCAAGAGUAAUGCUUAAUUAUCCAUACAUGGCCAUUUACAAGCAUAUUGCCACAGGGCUCCAGCUUCACAACAGUCCCCAGUCUAAUAGAAGAUGGCAUUAUUGCAUGCAGUCAGAAUUAUUCACUGCAUUACCCACGAUUCAUAGCAUGUAUUAACACAAGCAAUUUCAUGCAUAUGGAUACAGUGGGUCUUAGCAGGGGAGCUCCUGAUUGCUCUGAAACUAAUUUCACAAUCAUUAGUUUUGGUGGUGCUGUGAGUGACAGAGUGUAUUUACUAGAUUUUGGAAAAUGACAAUUUCCACAAGCUUUGUGUAGGAAUCUAUAAACAUGAAAGCCUGAGCUACAAGAAGCUCUAAGCUGUUCAGAGACAACAGUGACACUGGACUUGUUGGUUAGAGGAAAUUUUCCUUUGCAAAUGCAAAAAAGGACAAACAAAAUAACAGUAUUAAUUAUCUAGCUUUGUCACGUAAUGUAAUAUUUAUGAAAGUGUUGUUUUUGCCAUCGAGUGAGAGGCCCUUCAUAAAUAUAGGGUAUAGCGCUUGAGAUUCAGGCCAAACCAAAAGCCUUUUUGCCCGAAGGUGAAGUUAAUGAAUCAUGGCCAAGUGCUGCAUUCUUUCCAUAUGUAGGAUGAGGAGAUAUUUUGCAAAGCCUCUGAAACAACCUAAUGCUGUUAUGGGCCAUUGUUCACAAUAAACAUGUAAAUUGUGUUUAUGGAAUACUGUAUAAGUCAAUGAGUUAAUGGCACUGAUUCACAAAUAAAUUAUAAUCACAGUGUGUCAAAACAGAAAGAAAAAGGAAAGAAAAAACGAAUUCACAAAAGCAAGCAUUUUUACUUGUUAGCCAGAAAAAACAGAGGUGUUUUCCAGUAUCAUUCACAGAAACUGUUCAGUUACUAAUGUCAGAAAUCAGCCAUCAUUCCCCUACCGAAGCGGGGAAUGCUGUUUGAUCUCGCAGAACAAGAGAUACAUAAAUUAAGAGGCAAAUUUUCAUGAAACUUUUGGGAGCGGUUGAGCAAAUCCAAAAGGAAAACUCGGUAAAAUUUGGUUAAAAUCCACACCGCUUCCUUUUAAAUUGCAGGAUGGGGCACUUGCCUUUCAAAAUAUCUAUACAACACAAUAUAUUCACCUUAAAUCCACAGAAAGCAGCAGUGCUUGGUGGCUUGGGGUGUUCACAUUAAGUGUUGUAGCACCAAAUGUAAGCCACUAGGUGGGGAUAUGUUAUCUGUUUUCUUUGCAGUAAAUUUUAUUGCAGUUAGCGUCCCAAUUUUUCAGUGGAUACAUCAAAGCUAUUUGCCUCAGAUGUACUAAGAACUUCAGAAAAUUCCAUAGAAAAUUCUAUGACAAGGUAUCAAUGAAUGUAAACAGGUGCAGAACUGUUUUAUACUUUGUGUGUCAUGUUAAAUGUACAAAAUAACAUUGUUUUAAAUAUAAAGACUGACUUUUAAUAUUUGGAUGAAAAUCUCUGACAGUCAAUGAAUGCCCAAAGUCUAGAGGCCAUGGACAUCACCAAAUGCGGUGUUUUCUCACGUGAGAUCCUCUGCCAAACCUUUACUGCAGCUUUCAGUUGCUGCUUGUUUGUGGCUCUCUCUCUCUCACUUCAGUUUUGUCUUCAGUAACUAAAAAGCAUGCUCUGUUGGGCUGAGAUCAGAAAACUGACAUGGUCAUUGCCUCCUCAAGAGUUUUCUUGACUCAGAUAUUGUGAGAACUUACUCUUAACCAAGGAAAGAACUCAUCAUCCACUUUAGCUGUUAUUGUCUGUGGUCUUUCGGGUCUUUCUGUCUUACUGAGGUGGCCAGUGUAUUCUUUAUUUUUAAGAAUGUACCAGACCGCUGACAUAGGCUUUUCUAAUGUUUUGGUAAUCUCUGUGAUAUUUUGGUUUUCCAGCCAAUAAAAAAACCUAAAUCCC